GACAGAGGGGGCAAGCGUUGCUCGGAAUCACUGGGCGUAAAGGGCGCGUAGGCGGCCUGUUAAGUCGAACGUGAAAUCCCCGGGCUCAACCCGGGAACUGCGUCCGAUACUGGCAGGCUUGAAUCCGGGAGAGGGAUGCGGAAUUCCAGGUGUAGCGGUGAAAUGCGUAGAUAUCUGGAGGAACACCGGUGGCGAAGGCGGCAUCCUGGACCGGCAUUGACGCUGAGGCGCGAAAGCGUGGGGAGCAAACAGG
rnacentral:rRNA from 1 species